rnacentral:rRNA from 1 species
UACGUAGGGGGCAAGCGUUGUCCGGAAUCAUUGGGCGUAAAGAGCGUGUAGGCGGUUCGGUAAGUCGGCUGUGAAAGUCCAGGGCUCAACCCUGGGAUGCCGGUCGAUACUGCCGGACUAGAGUUCGGAAGAGGCGAGUGGAAUUCCCGGUGUGAGCGGUGAAAUGCGCAGAUAUCGGGAGGAACACCUAUGGCGAAGGCAGCUCGCUGGGACGUUACUGACGCUGAGACGCGAAAGCGUGGGGAGCAAACAGG